rnacentral:lncRNA from 1 species
AGUGGAACAACUGGAUAUACAAAUAUGAAAAAAAGUGUCUGGAACACUUCUUCACACUAUACAAAAAUCCAUUCUAGGAGGGAUUAAGUCCUUACUUUAAAUAUUUUAUGAUGAAAAUGUUUAAACUUACAAAAUAGUAGAGAAGAAUAAAAAUAAUUUUACAUAUAUGUUUUUCUCAACUAGGGAGACAACAGCACUGGGCAAGCAGGACGUAUGGAAGUUAUGUACUGAAAGACUGGUGACACUAGUCAAGUGAAUAACAGUAGGGCUGGCUGGGUAACAUGUGAGCUGGAGAGGAAGAGAUGAAAUGGUAACACUUUUGGCUUAGAAACUUGGAACAUAAAGAAUGAAGAAAAACCAGAAGGAAGAGUUACUAUCUGGCAGGAACACAUUUUCCCCCUUAGCCCUGAAGAGUACGCAGACCAUUGUUAGCAAGGAAGCUAGCUUGUUUUUUGCACCAAAGGAAAGCUAAGGGAACCUCCUAAAAUGCCAUGUACGGGUAGAGAAGAGAUCAUGGUUGAUAACAACAAACAAAAAGGCUUCCAGCUGACUGGAUGGUAUCUACACACGUUGAGGGUGGCUCUUCCCCCACUUAGCCCAUCUAGACUCACACACCAAUGUCCUCUGAAAAGACCCUAACAGACAUACCCAGAAAUAAUGCUUUACCAGUUCUCUAGGUAUUCCUUAAUUUACUCAAGCUGACACGUAAAAUCAGCCAUCACAAAAUCACCCGUUGUCAACUUUGCACCCAUUUGUAUCUCCUUAAAUCAUAAUUUCCUGCAUACAACCAAAAAUGCACUAAUUCCUUUCUAGAAGAAAAGAUAAAGUCAUUGGGUGAUGUUUACUCUUCUCCUGAUAUCCCAUAACAUAUACUAUACUUUUUUUUUUUUUGAGACAGUCUUGCUCUGUUGCCCAGGAUGGAGUGCAGUGGCAUGGUCUCAGCUCACUGCAACCUCUGCCUCCCGGGUUCAAGCAAUUUUAGUACCUCAGCCUCCCGAGUAGCUGGGAUUACAGGCAUGCACCACCACCCCCGGCUAAUUUUUGUAUUUUUAGUAAAGACGGGGUUUCACCAUGUUGGCCAGGCUGGACUCGAACUCCUGGCCUCAGGUGAUCCACCCGCCUUGAUCUCCCAAAGUGCUAGGAUUACAGGUGUAAGCCACCAUUGCCCAGCCUAUGAUAUAAAUUUAACAAUACUUAAAUACUGAUAUAAAGUCAAUAAAUUUUAUGUUACAUGAUAAAGAAAUAAAAGAAAGAAUAUGUACUUAAUAUUGAAAGCCACCAUUUUAGCUAAUAGUAAUGAUUCAGAGAACGUUAAGAGGAUAUACUUUCCAAAUAAUUAACCAAUGUAGUUGCUCAAUAAAUAUUUGUUGAAUUAAAUGAAUAACCAAUGUCUCAAAUCCUAAGGCUAGUGAAAUAUUAUGUAGGAAUUCUGUUUAAACUAGUGAAAUAGAGAUUUACGUAUCCCUCAGUUGAUACUGCUUAUGGACUUGCUAGGAAUAAAGCCAGCUGUCUUUACAGUCUUUCUAUAAGAAGUGUAAGACCAUAGCUAGUUCUUCUGUUAUUUAUUGAAUCAUAUACAGUGUAGGUUUAUUAAUGUCUAGAUCAGCUAUAAUUUGAUCAUAUGUGUAGAAACUUUUAUUAAAGUCUAAAAACAAUAUUCUUGGAGUAAAUGUUAUCUGGACAGUACAUUUCCAAAAUAGAUUCUACCUAUUAAAUUUGUAGGUGUUGUGUUACAGAAAAGUAAGGAGUAUUCUUCUUAUACAGGUCACAAAAUAACAGUUACAGACCUGAAUUUGGGAAAUAAUUUAGGACUGUCAGAAAGCUCUACCAGCUGAGAGGUUUUAGCAAAAUAAUAAUUAAUUAUUUCAAUUUCCCAUCAAGCCUUCUACAAUUUACUCUGUACCUGCACCCUUGUGUGUUACCAUCACAUUCACAUUCUAGCACAAC